ensembl:lncRNA
CUCCAAGCCAAUCUCCAGGUUUAGUGUUGCACAAUUCCCCUAAUUCUGAAUCUCCCUAGCCAGGCUUCAGCUUCAGGACUGUUCUGAAUCUCCCUGGUCAGGUUUCACCUUCAGGACUGUUCUGAAUCUCCCUGGUCAGGUUUCACCUUCAGGACUGUUCUGAAUCUCCCUGGUCAGGUUUCAGCUUCAGGACUGUUCUGAAUCUGAAGACGAUCCAAACAGGGUUCCAUGAGAAAUUGGGAGUCCACCCCUCCAUUUUCUAAAGCUCCGCCUCUAUCAAAUUGUUCUGUUUGGCUCAGUUGGUAGAACAUGGCACUUGUAACACCAGGGUUGCGGGUUGGAUUCCCGCUGGGAUCACCCAUAGUUUCUACACGCUACUGUAAGUGUUUGUUUCUAGCUUUGAGGC